AUUGAACGCUGGCGGCAUGCUUUACACAUGCAAGUCGAACGGUAACAGGUCAAGCUGACGAGUGGCGAACGGGUGAGUAAUGCAUCGGAGCGUGCCCGAUCGUGGUGGAUAACGCAGCGAAAGCUGCGCUAAUACCGCAUACGAUCUGAGGAUGAAAGCGGGGGACCGUAAGGCCUCGCGCGAUCGGAGCGGCCGAUGUCAGAUUAGGUAGUUGGUGGGGUAAAGGCCCACCAAGCCGACGAUCUGUAGCUGGUCUGAGAGGACGACCAGCCACACUGGGACUGGGACACGGCCCAGACUCCUACGGGAGGCAGCAGUGGGGAAUUUUGGACAAUGGGCGAAAGCCUGAUCCAGCAAUGCCGCGUGCAGGAAGAAGGCCUUCGGGUUGUAAACUGCUUUUGUACGGAGCGAAAAGGUCCUUUCUAAUACAAGGGGCUUAUGACGGUACCGUAAGAAUAAGCACCGGCUAACUACGUGCCAGCCGCCGCCGUAA
rnacentral:rRNA from 1 species